rnacentral:rRNA from 1 species
AGAACUUAGCAGAGAUGCUUUGGUGCCUUCGGGAACUCUGAGACAGGUGCUGCAUGGCUGUCGUCAGCUCGUGUUGUGAAAUGUUGGGUUAAGUCCCGCAACGAGCGCAACCCUUUAUCCUUUGUUGCCAGCGGUCCGGCCGGGAACUCAAAGGAGACUGCCAGUGAUAAACUGGAGGAAGGUGGGGAUGACGUCAAGUCAUCAUGGCCCUUACGAGUAGGGCUACACACGUGCUACAAUGGCGCAUACAAAGAGAAGCGACCUCGCGAGAGCAAGCGGACCUCAUAAAGUGCAUCGUAGUCCGGAUUGGAGUCUGCAACUCGACUCCAUGAAGUCGGAAUCGCUAGUAAUCGUGGAUCAGAAUGCCACGGUGAAUACGUUCCCGGGCCUUGUACACACCGCCCGUCACACCAUGGGAGUGGGUUGCAAAAGAAGUAGGUAGCUUAACCUUCGGGAGGGCGCUUACCACUUUGUGAUUCAUGACUGGGGUGAAGUCGUAACAAGGUAAGCGUAGUGCU